rnacentral:lncRNA from 1 species
UUGGAUAUCAGGGAAAGGUUCUUAUCCCAGAGGGUGCUCAGGCACUGAACACACUCCCCAGGCAAUGGGCACAGCCCCAAGGCUGACAGAGCUCCAGGAGUGUUUGGACAAUGCUCUCAGCACACGGUGGGAUUGCUGGGGUGUCCUGUGCAGGGACAAGAGCUGGACACCAAUUAUCCUUGUAGGUCCCUUCCAACUCCAUAUUCCAUGAUCCCGUGAGUAACAGCCAGAUCACUCCCACAGGGAGCCUGCACAAAUCUUUUCUAUUAAAGCAUCCAAAGAACUUCUGACCAAAUGGGCACUGUUUACAAGAAAUGACCACCCUUCCCAUUCUCUUCACUCUUUCCUAUCCUGUUCUCAAUUCCCAUCCCACCACUAACUGUGGUGGGAGGUUUUGGACCCAAACCCAGUUUAUUUCUGCAGAGUUAAUGGACGAUCAGCUGCUGCUGCUGCUGGAAUCCUUGGAAAGGAAGAUUGUGUCCCAACAGCUGAGGCUGGUUGAAAACCUCCUGAAUCAUGACCUGGAUAAGGGGAAGGAGACUUUCCAUUUUGAUGCUGAGCUGCUUUCCUUCCCACACGAGGAGGAACAGAGGUUAACCACGGAACUGGUGGAGCUGAGUGGAGUGCAGCUCCAGGAAGAUGGAUCAGCUCUCCUGAGGGAUCAACCCUUUGAGCCCAUGGCAGCCUUGUUUGUGGCUCUGUACGCCCUCAACCUCCUGAGUGGCUCUGAGUAGGAGGUACCUGGCCCUGCCCAGGGAACUUCUCUACAAUGUCUUGGGAAAUCUCUGCUCUCAAGCCAGCUUUCUGUCCCAGUAUCAUCCUUGUUAAUGCUCAAGGCUGCUUUGGCUGGCAAAAGCAAAUUUAAGGCUGGAAAACUCAUUAUGGACAUUAAAGGUUGGAUGUUGAAGUGGAUUUCUUUCACUGACACCUCCAUGGUCCCAACACUGCCAUCAUCCCUGAGAUCCUCAAGGGACACAGGCAGCACUUUAGAGAAGCCAUACUUUCAUUACCACUUUAUAAAGAGGACCUUCUUUCUAGGCAACUGGGUGUUCUCAAAGUCAAUUUCUUAAUUUUGUAUGUUUUGGUCCCACAGCACAUCUGACAAGCUCGGGAUGCUGUAUGAGAAAUACAGGCACUUAGCCCUGGGGGGAAGUCGGGAGUCCCUCAGGCUGUGGGGCCCUGGGAGGGUCCCUGGAGGACAGGGGUGCCUGCAGCAAGGGGCAGCACUGCUCACCUGUGUGGCCACUGACGACUCUGGAUCUCCAGCACCAGGUGCCAGGCUCUGCCUUGCAACAGCAACGAGGGCAGCCCGGCCCCAACCUGGAACCAUCGUAGCAUUGGCACCAGACCAGACCCCUCACAGAACCCCCAGCUUCAACCUGGCCCCCCCAUAAGACUCCCCCGGCCCACAUCCUCACUGGACCACUCACGGGAUUCCCGAGGCCAGCCCAGCCCUCACAGGGGAUCCCCAAGCCCACAAGGGACACUUCACGGGAUCCCCGGUCCAGUGCAGCCCCUCAAGGGACCCUUCACGGGAUCCCUCACAGAAUCCACGAUCCCAGCCCAGCCCUUCACGGCAUCCCCGACCUGGCCCUAGCGCGGCCCCUCAUGGGACCCCUCACGGGUCCCCUCACAGAAUCCUCGGUCACAGCGCGGCCCCUCACGGGACCCUUCACGGGAUCCCCCACCACAGCCAAGCCCCUCACGAGCCCUCGCGCUGCGCCUCAGAGAAGA